rnacentral:rRNA from 1 species
UACGAAGGGGGCUAGCGUUGCUCGGAAUCACUGGGCGUAAAGCGCGCGUAGGCGGCUUUGUAAGUUAGAGGUGAAAGCCUGGAGCUCAACUUCAGAAUUGCCUUUAAGACUGCAUCGCUUGAAUCCGGGAGAGGUGAGUGGAAUUCCGAGUGUAGAGGUGAAAUUCGUAGAUAUUCGGAAGAACACCAGUGGCGAAGGCGGCUCACUGGACCGGCAUUGACGCUGAGGUGCGAAAGCGUGGGGAGCAAACAGG